GGAAUUUUCUCAGUGGCGUUACGAUGUCAGCAGCCAAGGACAGCAGGCCGCACGGAACUGGGCCUCUGUUUCAGAGGAUGGAUAAAUGUCAUCUGCGCUCAACCUCCCUAUUACCUAACGGUACUUUAGUUUUGUUUUGGCGAUCAUGAAGAGACAAUGCGAGUGACACUUUUGGUUAGGAUCACACUGGCUAUUCAACUGCACACAGAGGUCUACGUUACAUUUCAACUAUAUGGGCUACCAUCUGUUUUGACCACACACACUGCGAAAGCAGGCAUUCCUGUGGGCUGUCCUCUGAUCAGUUCUGGCAGACGCUCUGAUUCCAGAGUAUUUCAGCAAUGACAUGCGGGCUGGGGAACACUUGUGACAGAUAUGGGGAAAAUAUGGUCUCUAUUUUAGAUAACCAAUAUAUUGAUGUUGAGUGCACAGAAAGGUUAUGAUACAGUUUUGUCAUUUUCACUGUAAAACGUCAAUUUGAGCUGUCAGACUUGUUUCAACGUGUUUAUUUGAUAUG